GAUGAACGCUAGCGGGAGGCCUAACACAUGCAAGCCGAGCGGUAGAGAUCUUUCGGGAUCUUGAGAGCGGCGUACGGGUGCGGAACACGUGUGCAACCUGCCUUUAUCUGGGGGAUAGCCCUUCGAAAGGAAGAUUAAUACCCCAUAAUAUGUUGGAUGGCAUCAUUCGACAUUGAAAACUCCGGUGGAUAGAGAUGGGCACGCGCAAGAUUAGAUAGUUGGUGAGGUAACGGCUCACCAAGUCUGCGAUCUUUAGGGGGCCUGAGAGGGUGAUCCCCCACACUGGUACUGAGACACGGACCAGACUCCUACGGGAGGCAGCAGUGAGGAAUAUUGGACAAUGGGUGAGAGCCUGAUCCAGCCAUCCCGCGUGAAGGACGACGGCCCUAUGGGUUGUAAACUUCUUUUGUAUAGGGAUAAACCUACUCUCGUGAGAGUAGCUGAAGGUACUAUACGAAUAAGCACCGGCUAACUCCGUGCCAGCAGCCGCGGUAAUACGGAGGGUGCAAGCGUUAUCCGGAUUUAUUGGGUUUAAAGGGUCCGUAGGCGGAUCUGUAAGUCAGUGGUGAAAUCUCACAGCUUAACUGUGAAACUGCCAUUGAUACUGCAGGUCUUGAGUGUUGUUGAAGUAGCUGGAAUAAGUAGUGUAGCGGUGAAAUGCAUAGAUAUUACUUAGAACACCAAUUGCGAAGGCAGGUUACUAAGCAAUAACUGACGCUGAUGGACGAAAGCGUGGGGAGCGAACAGGAUUAGAUACCCUGGUAGUCCACGCCGUAAACGAUGCUAACUCGUUUUUGGGCUUUCGGGUUCAGAGACUAAGCGAAAGUGAUAAGUUAGCCACCUGGGGAGUACGAACGCAAGUUUGAAACUCAAAGGAAUUGACGGGGGCCCGCACAAGCGGUGGAUUAUGUGGUUUAAUUCGAUGAUACGCGAGGAACCUUACCAAGGCUUAAAUGGGAAAUGACAGGUUUAGAAAUAGACUUUUCUUCGGACAUUUUUCAAGGUGCUGCAUGGUUGUCGUCAGCUCGUGCCGUGAGGUGUUAGGUUAAGUCCUGCAACGAGCGCAACCCCUGUCACUAGUUGCCAUCAUUAAGUUGGGGACUCUAGUGAGACUGCCUACGCAAGUAGAGAGGAAGGUGGGGAUGACGUCAAAUCAUCACGGCCCUUACGCCUUGGGCCACACACGUAGUACAAUGGCCGGUACAGAGGGCAGCUACACAGCGAUGUGAUGCAAAUCUCGAAAGCCGGUCUCAGUUCGGAUUGGAGUCUGCAACUCGACUCUAUGAAGCUGGAAUCGCUAGUAAUCGCGCAUCAGCCAUGGCGCGGUGAAUACGUUCCCGGGCCU
rnacentral:rRNA from 1 species